UACAGAGGUCUCAAGCGUUGUUCGGAUUCAUUGGGCGUAAAGGGUGCGUAGGCGGCGCGGUAAGUCGGGUGUGAAAUCCCUCGGCUUAACCGGGGAACUGCGUCUGAUACUGGAUGGCUUGAGUUUGGGAGAGGGAUGCGGAAUUCCAGGUGUAGCGGUGAAAUGCGUAGAUAUCUGGAGGAACACCGGUGGCGGAAGGCGGGUCUCUGGGCCGAUACUGACGCUGAGGAGCGAAAGCGUGGGGGAGCGAACAGG
rnacentral:rRNA from 1 species